GGAGUUUAUUUCAUUAUAUUUUUUAUAAUAAUUAUUGAUUAAUUUCCUAUGCAUCCUCAUUACAAACAUGGAAGAUAAGUUUUGAAACUUCUGAAAGAAAUGUGGAGAUUGCAACACACAAGCUGGACAGUUCCAUUGUUGCCGUGAAGCUUGCUGGAUGGAGGAGGCUAUUGACUGAUGUGACACCUGCUUUUUGUAACAGCAGGAAGUUGUAUUGUUUCUCUUCGAGUUUUUCUGGAGAAAGGCGGUAG
rnacentral:lncRNA from 1 species